UAGCAUAUGAUGGAAAAAUCUUAAUCUUCUGAGACUUGUGGUGUCUUCAAAGGAACCACUUCAGUGCUA
ensembl:snoRNA SNORD42 Small nucleolar RNA SNORD42